CCUACGGGUGGCAGCAGUGGGGAAUAUUGGACAAUGGGGGGAACCCUGAUCCAGCGACGCCGCGUGAGUGAAGAAGUAUUUCGGUAUGGAAAGCUCUAUCAGCAGGGAAGUAAGAAAUGACGGUACCUGACUAAGAAGCCUCGGCUAACUACGUGCCAGCAGCCGCGGUAAUACGUAGGGGGCAAGCGUUAUCCGGAUUUACGGGGUGUAAAGGGAGCGUAGACGGCGAUGCAAGUCUGAAGUGAAAGGCGGGGGCCCAACCCCUGGACUGCUUUGGAAACGGUAUGGCUGGAGUGCAGGGGAGGUAAGUGGAAUUCCUAGUGUAGCGGUGAAAUGCGUAGAUAUUAGGAGGAACACCAGUGGCGAAGGCGGCUUACUGGACUGUAACUGACGUUGAGGCUCGAAAGCGUGGGGAGCAAACAGGAUUAGAUACCCCUGUAGUC
rnacentral:rRNA from 1 species